AGUAGUCAACGAGUUUGAUCAGUGGCUACAGAACGAACGCUGGCGGCAUGCCUAACACAUGCAAGUCGAACGAGACCUUCGGGUCUAGUGGCGCACGGGUGCGUAACGCGUGGGAACCUGCCUUUAGGUUCGGAAUAACUCAGAGAAAUUUGAGCUAAUACCGGAUGAUGUCUUCGGACCAAAGAUUUAUCGCCUUUAGAUGGGCCCGCGUAAGAUUAGCUAGUUGGUGGGGUAAAGGCCUACCAAGGCGACGANCUUUAGCUGGUCUGAGAGGAUGAUCAGCCACACUGGGACUGAGACACGGCCCAGACUCCUACGGGAGGCAGCAGUGGGGAAUAUUGGACAAUGGGCGAAAGCCUGAUCCAGCAAUGCCGCGUGAGUGAUGAAGGCCUUAGGGUUGUAAAGCUCUUUUACCCGAGAUGAUAAUGACAGUAUCGGGAGAAUAAGCUCCGGCUAACUCCGUG
rnacentral:rRNA from 1 species